rnacentral:rRNA from 1 species
AUUGAACGCUGGCGGCAGGCCUAACACAUGCAAGUCGAACGAGUGGCGGACGGGUGAGUGAUGUCUGGGAAACUGCCUGAUGUAGGGGGCUAACGAGUGGAAACGGUAGCUAAUACCGCAUACCAUCAGAUCUGCCCAGAUGGGAUUAGCUUGUUGGGGUGGUAACGGCUCACCAAGGCGACGAUACCUAGCUGGCCUGAGAGGAUGACCAGCCACAGUGGAACUGAGACACGGUCCAGACUCCUACGGGAGGCAGCAGUGGGGAAUAUUGCACAAUGGGCGCAAGCCUGAUGUAGCCAUGCCGCGUGUAUGAAGAAGGCUUUCGGGUUGGAAAGUACUUUCAGCGGGGAGGCGUUACCCGCAGAAGAAGCACCGGCUAACUCCGUGCCAGCAGCCGCGGUAAUUC